CCCAAAGCAAUUCCUUCACCUAAACCAAAUUCGAACAAACUUGAUAACAGAAAAGAAGGAACAGAUCACUUUAAAACUUCAGCCUCACCCUAUCCAUGAUCAAUGUGCUAGUCAAAACAGUUCAAGAGCUAAAUAUUACAGCCAUUAUGAGAUUGAAAGAAGAAGGAAUGAGAUUCGAACUACAAAUAACAUUAGCUUUUUAUAUUUCUAAAUCCCAAACUUCAGAUUACACUUAAGUGAUAUCCAUAGUGCUGAAAAUACCUGGAAAUAAAGGAAAACAAAAGAUGUGCAGAGUCAGUAGAGAGCAGCAGCAGAAAAGCAAUGGAACAAUGUUGGAAUCAACCAAUUAAGCCUUGAGGAACCAGCUAAAACAGCAAAUAAGCAGUAACCCAAACCAACAGUUCCAACCAGACCUUUGAAUCCCCAAAAUUAAACCAUUUUUUCAACCCAAGUGCAGAAUUCUGAGGUUUUUAGAAAUUCAAACUAAUGUAGAGGAUCAAACAAGCAAACCUGAGCGAGAUUUGAGCAAUUUUCCCCAAAGAAAUGCUAGAAAGUCAAUGUGGUUUCAAGAGUUUUUUUAGCUAUUUCAGUUUUUGCCCAAUUUUU
rnacentral:lncRNA from 1 species